rnacentral:rRNA from 1 species
AUGGACAAGGAGAGGUUCAGGAAAAGAAGGUUGAUGCUUAUAAAGGCCGCUGCAUCCGUGUCUUCGUGUAUGGUCAUGUUGUAUGUCCGGCCCAGACUACAGAGAAAGAAAGAGAGUAUUUCCUAUGGGCCAAUCGAGGCAAGGGACAAGAAAAGGAUUGCCUUUCUAAAUAAUCAGAUUUACAAGGAUGAUAUAACUUGUCAGACAACGCUGAGGCUUACGAGGGCUUCUUUUUUCGGGUUGUGCCAAGUUUUGAGGGAACGCUCUUUGCUCCGUGACACUGUUCAUAUAUGUAUUGAGGAGCAAGUCGCCAUGUUCUUGAUCACAGUAGGACACAACCUUCGGAAUAGGGUUGUAAGUGCUAUUUUUAAUAGGUCAGGUGAACCAGUUAGUCGCUAUUUUGGACUAGUCCUCCAUGCUAUAGUUCAUCUAAGGGAUGAGUUUAUUAGUCCACCAUCAUUGGAGACCCCAACCAGAAUUGCUGGCGACCCAAGAUGGGACCCAUACUUCAAGGAUUGUAUUGGAGUCAUUGAUUGUACACAGGUACAGGCUUCUUCCUGUAAGAACGUGGAGACUGCCUUCCGUGGUAAGAAGUUAGUUGCAAGCCAAAAUGUGAUGGCAGCAAUUGAUUUUGACCUUCGUUUCACACAUGUGCUGGCUCGUUGGGAGGGAUCUGCACAUGACGAUGCUGUUUUAGUGGAUGCGAUAGAGUGCGAGAAUGGCCCAUGUGUUCCUCAAGGUAAAUUCUACCUAGUGGAAGCCGGAUAUGGAGCCAAACCUGGAUUUUUGCCACCUUUCCACAGCAUACAAUAUCACUUUACUGUGUGGGGGAACAAUCAUGUGCGAGAUGCAAGGGAAUUGUUCAAUCUUAGACACUCAUCUCUACGAGUACCUAUAGAACGUGCAUUCGCAUCACUCAAGCGAAGAUUUAAAGUUCUAGAUGAUGCAAAUCCAUUCUUUCCCUCCGCUACCCAAGUGGAUGUUGUGAUAGCUUGCGUCAUCCUCCACAACUGGGUUCUUUCCCAAGGCACUGAUUGUUUCAUUAUACCGGAGAUUAAUUGGAAACCUAAACCCCCUAGUUCUCAGAUAGAGCAUACCCAUGACGAUAGACACAUGGUUGAGUUCAGACAAGCCCUUGCUGACAAAAUGUGGGAAGACCAUCAAAACUAUCACCGCAAUGAUGCUGACUUCUUGAACACUCCAACUUACUAUCACGAGAUGGCCACAAUCUUCAGUGAUAGUGUGGCUCCUGAUGUAUACGCUAAGAGUGUGGAUGAGCUUCUUGCUGUAGAUGUGGCCGGGAAUGAAAUUGUUACUGGAGGAAAUGACACUUUUGCUGCCAGUGUUGAAGAGUUUACACUGCCUUUUCCUAUUCCCGACUGGGGGAAGAAUGGCGAUUCCUCUAGCAGUAAAGCAUCGAAAAGGGCCAAGGUAAACAAUGAUGACGAGUUGAUGCAUUUGAUGACCAGCCUUGAUAACCUUGCCAAAGCUAUAGAGAAAUCUGAAUGCGUAGAUACAGAUGUCCCUGACGAUCUUUGGGGUAACCUGAUGAAUCUCCCUGGAUUUGAAGAGGCGCAUCUUACCCAUUACUAUGCUCAUCUAGUUGAGAAUGCUGCAAUUGGUAGAGCAUUCAACAAACUUAGCAUGUCCAACAAAAUGACAUGGGUAGCUAGAUAUAUCGAGAACCACCUUUCUGAGUAG